GACGAACGCUGGCGGCGUGCCUAAUACAUGCAAGUCGAGCGGACGGAUGGGAGCUUGCUCCCAGACCGUCAGCGGCGGACGGGUGAGUAACACGUGGGCAACCUGCCUGUAAGACUGGGAUAACUCCGGGAAACCGGGGCUAAUACCGGAUAACUCUUUCCCUCACAUGAGGGAAAGCUGAAAGAUGGCAUCUCGCUAUCACUUACAGAUGGGCCCGCGGCGCAUUAGCUAGUUGGUGAGGUAACGGCUCACCAAGGCGACGAUGCGUAGCCGACCUGAGAGGGUGAUCGGCCACACCGGGACUGAGACACGGCCCAGACUCCUACGGGAGGCAGCAGUAGGGAAUCUUCCGCAAUGGACGAAAGUCUGACGGAGCAACGCCGCGUGAGUGAUGAAGGUUUUCGGAUCGUAAAACUCUGUUGUCAGGGAAGAACAAGUACCGGAGUAACUGCCGGUACCUUGACGGUACCUGACCAGAAAGCCACGGCUAACUACGUG
rnacentral:rRNA from 1 species